rnacentral:rRNA from 1 species
UCCUGGACGAGCAGUCUGCUUUGCAUUUGUACCGGUAGCUUACGUGACACGAAGUCUGGGUACCCGGAACCGGGUGUAUCUAGAGCCGGUAGAGUCAUUGAGAAUUUGGGAAGAGGGUAAGAGAGCAGAGAGAAUGAGUCAGCUGCGUCGCGGUGGUGGAGAGGGGGUUGGUAGGCGGUACCCGGAGGAGUUCUUGAGGGAGGACGAGGUUCCCGUCGACGCCGUCCGAUGCCGAGUCCGCCGCCGGCGGCGGCGGUCGCGCCCUCACCCCGCCGCGCCGCACCGCUGCAGCUGCCUCCUCAUGUACGCGGCGUUGAUGCGGUUGUUACAGAGGCUCAUGUUGUGGCAGUAGCCCAGGGAGUAGGUCGUCGCGUCCGGGAUGGACGAAGCACUACGGAUGCUACUGUACAAUGAGCUGCCCCACGUCGGACACGCCCUGUGUAAGGUGUUAGAGUAUCAGCCGUGGUACUUCCCGUCGGCCGAUGUUCUACGAAAGAUGAAGGCGCUGGUCUACUCUCUUUACCCGAACGUCGGACUACAAUUGGAUAUGUUAAAAGACUAGAGGUGAACGCCCUUUACGUUCUUGAGCCUACGUCGUUAGAACGAAGACCUUCUUUACUUUCGUGUACCGCAAUUCAACUUUCCUCUUUGGAUGUAAACAGAGAACUUACGCGAACGUCGUUGACCCGCAUGCCUAGUUCAAAUACGAUAUCAAGCACUAUACUGGCGGCGACCUGAACCUAAUUUGUUCAAAACAAUACGACCUGAUUAUUGACGUAAGUUCUUGUUCUGUGGUCGGUCACUCCUAUGAGGCCGUUUUUAAGAACUCAAGCAGGUCGUCAGUUUUCCAACCGUCAUACAACUUUCCCAUCGUUUACUAUCACGACUCUUAUAUUACUACUUACACAGUCUGCUUCUCGAUAUGUUGAACGGUUGUCGUCUUAAACGUGUGUCUUCUCCUAAAUAUAAAUUCGUCAAUUGUUAAAUAGUACAACGAUAGGUACGAACACGUCUGAACCCCUCGUUUCUCUGUGAGCUUCGUGAAGAACUGUACAAGUGAUUUCUCUUAAAAUUAAUACUACGGAAGUAACACUACGUUCGACAUUCCACAAUAGAAGCUACACCUCUAUAACUAAGGCGACAAUUCUACAAACUUCUCAAGAGUUCGAGCUUUGGGUGUGGGCGUCUCGACAUACACUGUGAACGGCUCCCUCGAUACUAUCCCAUAUGAGGUUCUCCUUACCUUCAACGAGUUCGUUGGAACCUCUCUUACUGACUUUCUUUUAAGAAGAACUUAGGGUUCUACCCCUGCCUAGAAGAUGAUCGCCGAAGACCACUUUUCUGACCACCUAUAUGUUGACGUUUAAUAUAAACCCUAUACGACGUUUGGGCGUUAUAUUAAGGUCGUGAAGGACGACAACUUCGUAUGAUGUUCCCUAACUUCCUUGCUCUUUAAGGAAGCCUGCUAGGUGCCGAACACUUACAACGGGCACAAAACCUGUUGGACGUUGAGGCCAACCCGGGCUCCUCUUUAAAAGUCAUUGUGUACCAGUUUGACGAGAUCAGAGGGACUUGGUUACGUCCAACUUUAAACAAGACCAUUCCUCCAACGACCUACGUAGUUAUACAAAUUAGAGGUCUUUUGGCUUAUUGAUGAAAAUCCUGCUGUGUUUCGUUCCUCUUUGGUAGUUCCUAUAGAUAGGCACCUAUUGCCAGUCCUUUCUUACCGUCCCUGGUCACAUAUGUAGGACUCUGUCUUUAUAUAACAAAACAGCGGAGGAUACGGAUUCAGAGAAAGAAUUCAAGGUAAGUUAAAACAACAAUAAAUAGACUCGCCUGGUAGAUAACUUGAAACACCAACCUCAAACAUGACCAACGGCAAGUUUACACUAACAAAUCAGCAGUCAACAUCCAAAGACUAAAGAACCACAAACAUACACCUUCUACAAAGUAUAACAAAGUUUGUUCCCCCAAAACAG